rnacentral:rRNA from 1 species
AUUGAACGCUGGCGGCAGGCCUAACACAUGCAAGUCGAACGAGUGGCGGACGGGUGAGUAAUGUCUGGGAAACUGCCUGAUGGAGGGGGAUAACUACUGGAAACGGUAGAUAAUACCGCAUAACAUCCGAUGUGCUCAGAUGGGAUUCGCUAGUUGGUGAGGGAACGGCUCACCAAGGCGACGAUCCCUAGCGGGUCUGAGCGGAUGACCAGCCACACUGGAACGUAGACACGGUCCAGACUCCUACGGCAGGCAGCAGUGGGGAAUAUUGCACAAUGGGCGCAAGCCGGAUGCAGCCAUGCCGCGUGUAUGAAGAAGGCCUUCGGGUUGUAAAGUACUUUCAGCGGGGAGGCGUUACCCGCAGAAGAAGCACCGGCUAACUCCGUGCCAGCAGCCGCGGUAAUAC